rnacentral:rRNA from 1 species
GAUGCAGUGUGAAAAACUCCGGUGGUAUGAGAUGGACCCGCGUCUGAUUAGCUAGUUGGUGAGGUAACGGCCCACCAAGGCGACGAUCAGUAGCCGGCCUGAGAGGGUGACCGGCCACAUUGGGACUGAGACACGGCCCAAACUCCUACGGGAGGCAGCAGUGGGGAAUAUUGCACAAUGGGGGAAACCCUGAUGCAGCGACGCCGCGUGAAGGAAGAAGUAUCUCGGUAUGUAAACUUCUAUCAGCAGGGAAGAUAAUGACGGUACCUGACUAAGAAGCCCCGGCUAACUACGUGCCAGCAGCCGCGGUAAUACGUAGGGGGCAAGCGUUAUCCGGAUUUACUGGGUGUAAAGGGAGCGUAG